CAGGAAGCUUCUAAAUAGUGAGUUGAUGUGCAUGGUGUCUUUGAAAUGAGGAUUCAGCAAUUUGUAGACUGGAUGCAUAACACUCAACUGUCUGCGAGUGGCAAUGAUGAACGGCUCGACAACUGCAUGGGUGAGGGGUCUCACCAAUGGCUGACGAGUUGAUGGUAGACGGAGUCGUUGGCAGCGACGUGAGCUUUGGCAAGCUGCCACAGGGCAGCCUCCAAGCCCUCAGGUGCUGGCAGGUUUAGAGAGGAGCAACAUAAAGGAAGAGAUGAUAUAUAUAUAUAUAUACCUGUUGAAGGGGAAGACCAUCGAGGUUGUGUUCAAUAUCAGAAGCUUUUAUUGUACUAACCACUUUGGCUUUGCUUUCUGGUGGAAAUUUCUGUCCAAGCUUUAAUGGGAGAAGGUUUCCACACCCUUAUAAACGGUGGUUUGUUCUCCUCCCAACCAAUGUGAGACAUCACAUUUUUACACAGAAUUUGCAACAUAAUCUUAAAAUAUAUUAG